rnacentral:rRNA from 1 species
GGGGGGGGGGGGGGGGGGGGGGGGGGGGGGGGGGGGGGGGGGGGGGGGGUGGGGGGGGUGGCGGGGGGAGGAGCGGGGGGGGGGGGAGUAAGGCGGGGGGAAUCGGCCUUGGAGCGGGGGACGACAUGGGGAAACGAAUGCUAAUACCGCAUCAACACUUUAGACACAAGUUUUACGGUUGAAAGAGGGCAUUGCCUCACCCGAAGACUAUCCGGCGUUGUAUUAGCUAGUUGGUGCGGUAAGGACUCACCAAGGCGAUGUUACAUAGCCGACCUGAGAGGGUGAUCGGCCAAAUUGGGACUGAGACACGGCCCAAACUCCUUCGGGAGGCAGCAGUAGGGAAUCUUCGGCAAUGGACGAAAGUCUGACCGAGCAACGCCGCGUGAGUGAAGAAGGUUUUCGGAUCGUAAAACUCUGUUGGUAGAGAAGAACGUUGGUGAGAGUGGAAAGCUCAUCAAGUGACGGUAACUACCCAGAAAGGGACGGCUAACUACGUG